rnacentral:rRNA from 1 species
CAGGCUUAACACAUGCAAGUCGCGGGAGAAGGGGUGCUUCGGGGCCCCGGAGACCGGCGGAUGGGUGAGUAACGCGUAGGCAAUCUGCCUUUAGCACGAGGAUAACCCACCGAAAGGUGUGCUAAUACCCGAUAAUGCAGCGGGGCCGCAUGGCCACAGUUGUUAAACUCUUCGGAGGGCUACAGAGGAGCCUGCGUACCAUUAGCUUGUUGGUAGGGUAACGGCUUACCAAGGCGAUAAUGGUUAGGGGGUCUGAGAGGAUGAUCCCCCACACUGGGACUGAGACACGGCCCAGACUCCUACGGGAGGCAGCAGUGAGGAAUCUUGCGCAAUGGGGGCAACCCUGACGCAGCCACGCCGCGUGCCGGAAGACGGCCCUAUGGGUUGUAAACGGCUUUUGUUGGAGAAGAAUCCCGGAGAUUCGUCUCCGGCUGACGGUAUCCAUCGAAUCAGCACCGGCUAACUCCGUGCCAGCAGCCGCGGUAAUACGGA